rnacentral:lncRNA from 1 species
GAGCGCAGCACGUGUCGACAUCAAGAACCAAUCAUAACAUGACACAUGUCAAUGUGACAAAGCUACAAGUUUUUCUAUAAAUAGGGGCCAUUCCCCCACAAUAUUGGCUAAUGCCAUUUGUGUUAAAUCAUUCACAAGAACUCACUAAAUUGAGAGCUUGAUCCUUUGUACUUGUGUAAGCCCUUCACUACUAAUAAGAACUCCUCUACUCCGUGGACGUAGCCAAUCUGGGUGAACCACGUACAUCCUGUGUUUGCUUCUCUGUCUCUAUUCAUUUACGUACUUAUCCUCACUAGUGACCGAAGCAACCAAGCGAAGGUCACAAAACCUGACACUUUCUGUUGUACCAAAGUCUUCGCUGAUUUUGUGCAUCAACAGGAUUUUUUCUCAAACAAAAAAUCUUGAUGCAAUUAGAAAUGGGAACAAUUUGAUAUAAGUUGUAAUUUGUUUUGUGAGAUGAUUGAUGUAAAAUUUUUUACUUUAUUCAACACCAAACACUUAUCUUUAUUUCUCACAAUCUUAUUAAAUAAGUCAAAUAAAAAACAACAAUCAAAAGAAAAUAACGUUUAAACAAGAAUGUGUAAGAAUAGAAAAAAAGAUGUUUGGUUAUGAUUUUCCUUUCAAAAGUGAACAGUCCACCCACCAAGUUUAAUUAUUUCCCACUAUUCGUUGCUCACUCACGUUCACUUGAAUUAUGUGUAAGAAUAGAAAAAAGAUGUUUGGUUAUGAUUUUCCUUUCAAGACUGAAAGCAGUCCACCCACCAAGUUUAAUUAUUUUUCACCACCCACCAAGUUUAAUUAUUUUUCAUGGAGUAGGAUUUUCUCCCUUUAUUUUUUAAUCCUCUUUCAUUCCUUUCUCUUACCUUCUUCAUUUUAUCUUUAUAUUUUUAUAAAAAAAUUAAUAUAAGAUAUUAACAUGAUUUAAGUUUGAAUUAAUCCUACUCCAUUUACCACUAUCCGCCGCUCACUCACUUUCACUUGAAUUAUUUUGUUUAUGUGGUGUAGAAAGAAUGAAAAGAGAAAAAUACCCCCAAAAGAACCAAACUUUCAGAACUGUCUGUAUCCCAAAUGAGUCUUUGGUAUUGCUCUGCCAUUGCCAUUGGCAUUCCCUUCCACCAUUGACAUUGACGACAAACCCUUCAACUCCUCCAUACUCGCGUAGCUCUUCCUCGCCGUGAUCCCUCCGCUAUUGUUGUACCUCUCCUCCCCCGCGCUCACCGACUUACUCCCUAUCGAAUUCGACAAUAUCCCGUACGCUGCUUUCGCCAGACUCUUUGUCGGCAUGGUCAUCUCCUGCAUCAACGGAAACCUUGACGGCGGCUUGCGGUUCUCUUUUCGUAACACGGCUGAGAAAUUGGGCACCGAUUGAGCGAGAACGGAAUACCCUUUUCGCGAAUUGGUCAGAUGGGUCUUAAAUUUGACUUGUUUCUUCAAUGGGGUCAAUUUCGAUUCGGAUUCUUCGAGCUCCUCUAGGAUCAUGUACUUCCUCCUUAGCCGCGAUUCUCUGAGUUCCGCGUAGGCUUUGUAUCUAGGUCCUUUCUCCAUGGCGGCUCUCGGUGGUGAACCUCAAUGAACUGGAUGUUGAUAUGGGCUAGGGUUCUGGGAGGGACGUAGAACCCAGAUGGGUUGUAGGGAGUGGGUCCCAUAUUUAAUUUUUUAAUAUUUAAGGAGGUGUAUUCAAUUGGGAUUUUUAGAGAUUUUAAUUCUUUUAAUAAAUCUAGAGGUGUUCAAUCAAGAUUUUAAGUGAUUCUCUGAAAUUCAAGGUGUAUUCAAUUAGAAUUUUAAGAUAGUUUAUUAAAAUCCUUAGAAAUCCGGGUGCAUUCAAUUAGGGUUUUAAAGAAAUUUAUAACAUUCCAGUUGUAUUCAAUUAAAAAUUGAUUUUAAAGAAUUUGGGAAAGUUGGGGAAUUAGAAGGAAUUGAAGAGAUUUUGUAGUGUAUUUUAAGCAUCUACAAAUCUCACAUUUUUCCCUUAAGAUUUCGAGGAAAUUGAAUCAAAAUUUUAUAUGAAAUCUCCACAAAUCAAUUAAACUCCAUAAAAAUCCAUAAAUUUAUAAAUCCAUUAAAAUCUCUCAUAUUCUCAAUUGAAUACACCCCCUUAAUUAAUUUUUGAGUAAAGUACAAAAAACUACCUCAACUAUUGGUGUCAUGACACUUUCAUACCUCAACUUUUAAAAUUGACAAUGGCAUACCUCAUCUUACGAAUUUGUGCCAAUGUUAUACCUUUCGUUACCUUGGCGUGAAUUUCUCAGUUAACUGCUGACGUGGCUUGAUCCUUGACCCAUUUUCUAUUAAAAAAUUAUUAAAAACAAAAAAAAAUUAUUUAAUAUUUUUUAAAAUAUUAAAAUAAUAAAAAAGUUAUAAAUAAAUAAAAAUAAAAAAACAACUUUCAGUCCCCUUUCCGAUGUCCCUCCCCCCCCCCCCAACUUCUCUCUCUUCUCCCCAUCUUCAUCUUCUUCACCAUUCCUGCAAACCAAAAAAAAAAAAAAGAGAAAAAAAAAACUAAUUUGUCUUCCCCCCUCCCUACCCCCUUUUCUCCCCACACCCACUCUCCGCACCCAACCUCCCCACCUGGGGGAUGGACGAACUGGGUUUAUUUUAUUUUAUUUUUAUUUAUUUUUUCUUUUCUCCUUCUUCCUCUUCUCAUUCUCUUCUUCUUCUUCGGGUUGGGUUUGUGGUGAGCAGGGGUGAACUGGGUUGGGUUGAUUUUUUUUUUUUCCUUCUUCUUCUUCUUCGUCCUUCUUCUUCGUCCGUCUUCUUUCUGGGUUGCAGGGACGAAUAGUUUUUUUAUUUUUUUUUAUCCUUCUUCUUCUUUCUGGGUUGCAGGAAGAUGGGAGGGGGAGGGACGAACAUAGGGUUUUUUUUUCCUCUUCUUCCUCCUCCUUCUUUCUGGAUUGCAGGAAGAUGGGGAGAGGAGGGACCAACAAAGGUUUUUUUCUUUUUCUUUUUCUUCUUCUUCUUCCUCAUUCUUCUUCUUUUUGGGUUGCAGGAAGAUGUGGAGGGGGAGGGACGAGAGGUUUUUUUUAAAAUUUUUUUUAUAUAUACUUAUCUUUAUUAUUUUAAUAUUUAAAUAAUAUUAAAUAAUUUUUUUUUAGUUUUUAAUCGUUUUUAAUCAUUUUUAAUGAUUUUUUAAUAGAAAGUGGGUUCUGAAUUAAGCCACAUCAGCAUUUAACUGAAAAGUUAACGGCCAAGUAACGGAAGGUAUAACAUUGGACCAAAUUCUAAAAAUGAGGUAUGACAUUGUCAAUUUUAAAAGAUAAGGUAUGAAAGUGUCAUGACACCAAUAAUUAAGAUAGUUUUUUGUACUUUACCCUUAAUUUUUUUAAUCUAGUUGGGAUAAAGAGUGGGCCCUCUUUAAAGAAAUUGAUAGAAAAAUUAACAGAAGUCUAACAUUGUAACAAAUUCAUAAAAUAAGAUACAAUAUUGUAAAUUUUAAAAUAUAAGAUAUAAGAUUGUGGUUCGAUCUAUAAUUAAAGUAAUUUUAUGUAAUUUAUCCUAAAAAAUCCAAGAAAACCCAACCGGCAAGAAACAUAAAGCGACGGAAGAAUACGACCGAGUCAUCGCCACAGCCCACAGGAGCUAAUAAUCAAGAGGAAAUAGACAAAAAGAGAGGGGCAAUGGUUGGACAGGGGAGCCAUACCUGGACUUUUCUAUUGACUGGGGCAUGGAUUCACAUGUUACACAUUUUAAGAGGGAUUAGAAGGACUCAGAUCAUCUCCAAACGAAAUAUCAAAUUUUAAAUAUAAAAUUUAAAUUUGACGGUUUAUGUGUCAUUUUGAUAUUUUUCAAAAUUUUGCUCUUCAUCCGAUAUGUCAAAUUAAAUAUUAUUUUAUUACACUUUUUUUUAGCUUUUUUUUUAUUAAACUAUUAUUUUAUUACCCAUUUCGACAUCUUUCAAAACCCGAAUUUCUUCAUUUCACACCUUCAGCCAUGGAAGCUCUGCAAGCUUCCCUCCCGCAAGUCCCUCACACCCAGUUCGAACUACCUUCAGCCAUGGAAGCUCUGCAAGCUUCCCUCCUGCAAGCUUUCUGCUUUUCUUCUCUCUGUUCUCUCUCUGGUUUUCCAAAAUUCAAGCUUCGGUCUUUCUGGCUUCUUCGUUUGCUUUCAGUUUCAGCGUUUCCAAUAAAAAAAUUAAUAAAAAAAAUAUUUGAAGCUGCUAUCAAAUUUGACAGCAACCUCUUUGUUGCCAAUCCAUGUCAGCGCCACAUAGAAAUUGACAUUUCUGUUGGAGAAUACUAGUGUAGCCAUUUAUUACUGUUAUAACUUAUGUGGACAUUUUGACAUCUCCUUUAGAGAUACUCUCAUGUUGACAGAAAUUGAUGUCGGACUGUCGUUUAAGAGUUAAAGGAAUAUUACUAGACCUAAUUGGCGUUAAAAUUCUUAUUAAAAGCCGAAGUUUUCCUUAAAAUGUACUUGAAAGUGCUUUAUUAAGAAGCUUCUCCAAAAAGCACUUAUAUGAAUAAAAAACUUUUCUAACUUUUUCUACUGGGCUGGUUUGGUAUUGUUGUGUUUUGAAAAAAAAACUGCUUCUGCUGUUUUGUGAGAAUAAGCAGCUGUGAAAUAAAGCUGUAGAGUGUUUGAUAAACUUUUUUGUAAAAAUGCUUUUGAAAAAAAAAAAACAGUAUUGUAGUGUUUGGUAAACUUUUAUGUAAAACAGUUGUGAUUGUGUAAAAUGAUUAAAACUGGUAUAAUACUAGAUGUGCCAUUAAUUUAAUUUUCUUAACAAAUAAAGGUGAAUUACUAAAUAUGCUUUAUUUUUAAAAGAAAAAUAUUUAUAAACUUUAUCUUAAACAUAUAAUCCAACGUUUAACAAGAAAUCAUAAUCCAAUGUUCAACAUAUAAUCCAACAUUUAUGCUGUUUCACGUUUUCAACUUUUUUUUUUCACCCAAAACUAUGAAAAUAAGCUAUUUUUAAGUGUUUAUCAAACACCUUUUUAAGUUCAGUUUUUUUUAUACCCACUUUUUAUAAAAACACCUCAGUACCAAACCAGUACGUAGUUAGAAGUGUUUUGGCUUUUAGAAGAGUACCUGCUUAGAGCAACUCCAGCGUGCUCUUUAGCCCGAUUGACCGGUGAUUCCAAUCACCCAAUUGCCCCAGCAACUAGCUCCAGCGCAUGCGGGCAAUGAAGCUCAGGGGAGGCCCGGUGGACAGGCCAAGCAGGAAUCCAUCGCCCGAGAGCCUGAUGGCUGUGUGAUGUGUGGCUAACCUCAAGGUGACCCGGCUCGAAUUGGUCUAUUUUCCUUUGUUGGAAUCUGGAAAAAGAAUGGGAUGCAUCCAGGGAAUUAAGCCAUCGAAUUAAACCACAAGAAUUGCAGCACAACAUGAUUUAAAGCUCAAGAACACAAGAUAGUGAUAGAAACAUCACCUGGGUUCGAGAUUGAGAGCUCAAGCUCUCGGCUUCAAUGGUAGGACCUCGCACCAUGCACCGAUGCCGCAUGCAAGGCCAUGGUUGGGUUCCUUGCGUUCCAGGGAUUCUAAAAAUAUUGUUUUUGAGCUUGAUUUGUUAAAGGUUUGAAGAGGAAGGAGGAAGAGAGCUCACGAUAGUGAGCUAGAAAAGAGGGAGAGAGAAAGAAAAAGGAAGAGAGAGAAAGAAAAGAGAGAGAGAGAGGGAGAGAGAGGAAGAACCGGUCAAAUGAGGGGAAAAUGAGAAAGGGUGAUGGGGUGUAUGGAUUGGGUGUGGAAAAAAUAUUAAUAUUUUAUUGCCUAUUGUCAUAGCUGUUCAAUUUAGGGGUGGAUAUGCAAAAUACGGUUAAUGUUCAUUAAAGGUAGUUAUUGUUCACCGGGUGGAUUCAAUAGUGAGUUGUCCUAGGGGACCUUUGCAACGCUGGAGUUGCUCUUAAGGAAUAGCAUUAUGAAAACUCAAGGCCUCGGAUUUAUCAUUUGGCUAGCUAGCAGAACAGGAUCAAAAGGACCCAAAGAAGACCAACGGAGGCACAGGAAAGGGCACUUGAGAAUCAUGCCCAACCUACGCACUCCUGACCCAACCAUAUACAUGAUGUCAAAGGAACACACUGUAUCGAGUCACUUGAAUAUUUUAAAAACCAGGUAGAAGACAGUACCUGGAAGAGGAACUUUGAGGCUCAAAUCCACACACACACACAACUCUCAUUUCAUGAGCUACAGAAAAAAAGUCCCGUCGUUUCAGCUGCUAAGUCCAUACCCAAAUAUGUGCUCAUUUGCAAGAUCACCGUUCUCAGCACAUCAAGCUCAACAUGUUUGGGAAUGUGAGGUCAUGAUCGAUCGAAACUCGCUUCCCGUAACUUAACUGGAUCAUUUGCCAAUUCCCUGAAUCAAAGACAUAACUAAACUCAUCAAUCUGCAAAUAAAAUUUAUCUACAUGAGAACUUCGAUUAUCGAUUAAGUACAACAAAGGAACGUGUGCCUAUACCUCCGAAAAACCAGAAAUGUUCUCUUGCAUUCAAGAAUCCUAGCAGAUACCAAAUAUAAAUUUGAGAAACAACAAUAAAAAUGUUAACUACUGACUAAAGCUAUAGCUAGUAUAGGUUCUUGUUCAUCUUAGUGUAUAUUAGGUAAAUAUUUGACUAUAAAAACAUGUAUUUACCACAACAAAAAUAGACAGCUUUGUAUAUUUGAAUUCACCAUUUGUCAACCCGUCAUUUCACGAUAAGGGUUUCUAAUCACCCAUCCUUUUGCAACAUUUGUUUAUGAAGGGGCUUGCCUUAUAAUUUCAUAGAAAUCCAAUAUGUACGAAAAAAAAAAUAUGUACAUUGAACAAAGACGGAUUAAUGUAAAGGAUGAUUUACAACUCAUUGUGAAAAAUAGUAGUUCUAAUCUAUACAUUAACUAAGCAUCCUUAUCAGUAACAAAAAUGACUUAGAAGUUUGAAAUUGGACAUAGCUUGAAAGACAAAAUGCUUAACUAGCCUUAAAAAGCUCUAACCCAUGAUGACAUCUCCGAGCGAGACAAAGCUUGGAAUAUGGACACAUGCAUGAUUGAGGUCAAUGGAAGCUUGAAUGGCAUUCCAUCAACCUUGACACAUAGAGAGCCAAAUUUUCAAGGAAUAUAAUUCUGUCAGUUAAAAUCACAUAAGAAGAAGAUUUUUCCUUCCACUGUAAAUUUCACCACUCGAUGAAUAUGAUAAUCAAACAGUCGAUAAUUUCAAGCUCUUUGGUCCAAGACUCCUUAACACCAUAUUCCUUCAUCACCCUAACAUCUACAAUUUAUAAUGUGUAGGAACAAUUAGAGAGAGAACCUCUCAAGACUCCAAUUCCCAGAGCCAAUAGUCAAAACCAUUACCUCCGCUCACCAAAUUCUCCAUCAAAUGCUUUGUUUGGAUUGCUAAACCGAACAACUUUAAAGACACCACUGAUGGGACUAAACCCAACCCACAAACAGAAGGACCAAUUUCUUCAUUUUAAGUAGGUGUUGGAACUUGGAAGAGUUGAAUAUCAGAGUGCGCAACGAACAAGACUAACAAGAAUAAAAAUAUUAUUAAACAAACGAGAAUGCCAAAACGGCUACAAAACCCUAAGAUGCUACAUUGUGACUAACUUGAUUAUUCUAUAGAGUUACAAAGUACCAUAUAUAUAGAAAACUAAUCUAACCCUAAUAGGCAAGGAAACGAAACCCUAAUACUAACGGGCUAAGCCCAAAAUACCAAACAUUAAAAUAAAUCUAAAUAAUAAUAUUUUCCAACACCCCCGUCAAACUCAUGGCGGUACACGACAUGGGUUUGCCAAAGUAGAUGUGGAUGCAAGACUCCAAAUUCCAAUGCCAAUGCCAAUGCCGAUGCCGAUGCCAAUACCGAUGCCGAUGCCAAUACCAAUGCCAAUCCGAAUACCAAUAUCAAUACCAAUAUCCAUGCCAAUACCAAUACCAAUACCAAUACCAAUAUCAAUACUUCUUUCUUGCCCGUGUGGGCACAAAGUCAAAACCUCAAAAAACAAAGCAUUUUCUUCUAUUUCCCUUUUGUCUUUUUCCUCCUCCUUUUCCUGUUUCGUUUUUCCUUUUUUUUUUUUUUUUUUUUUUUUUUUACAGUCUUCUCCGCAAAGAACCUGCAAAACACAAGAGUGCAACGAUGCAGAGUGCAGGAACAUGAAGGGUGCAGAUGCUCCAGAUGCAGUUUAGACUACCAACAACUAAUAUUGAAAUCCAAAAACAAACAAACUGAUACGAGCAAACAGAAGCAGAUUAAAUCCCGAAGGAUCAAACCUGCUCUAAUACCAAGUUGAAUAUCAGAGUGCGCAACGAACAAGACUAACAAGAAUAAGAAUAUUAUUAAACAAACGAGAAUGCCGAAACGGCUACAAAACCCUAAGAUGCUACAUUGUGACUAACUUGAUUAUUCUAUAGAGUUACAAAGUAUCAUAUAUAUAGAAAACUAACCUAACCCUAAUAGGCAAGGAAACGAAACCCUAAUACUAACGGGCUAAGCCCAAAAUACCAAACAUUAAAAUAAAUCUAAAUAAUAAUAUUUUCCAACAGGAAGUGCCAAAGAUUCACCAGUAAAUGGGAUUAGAUAAACAAAAAAUGGCCGAAGUUAGGUCUACCAUCGUAUAGGCACAAGAAGCCAUUGCAAGAACCCACAAUUUCGACUGCGAACCCGUACUCAAUACUGGAGUCUCUAGAAAGCCUCACGACAUCGCUGUGUUGGGUUAGAGUGCUCGUCGAGGCCAACCACGAAGUGACCUAUCGACUUGGCACAAGGGGCGUUGAAGCAAUGGAGCAAAAUGCAAGCCGGUGCUUGUGAAAAUAGGGACAUGGUGAAGUGGCGGUCUGAGAGCCAGUGGACACUCGUCUGCAUUGGGUGAGCGUCUUGGUUGAGAUCUCUAUUAUUGUGUGGCUGGAAAUUGCGGAAUGUACAAUGUGGGGUUUCUUCUCAUGUUUCUUUAUCUUCUUCUUUUGAAGGUUUGUUAGGGAAAUUUGCAAAAUUAACCAAAUUUUAGACCCUAUAUAUUGAAUUAUUGCCACCGUUUUAAGUUAAGGAUCAUUAUAACCAAAAUUUUACAUGAAAUUACUAACAUACGCUUAAAAUGAGUUUUCCCAUAUAACCAAAAUGAAAAAAAUUUAAAAUUCAAGCUCAAGAAAUGUUCAUUCAGAUUGAAUAUGCCAUGUUGGUCGAAUCUAGCCAGAAAACUGUCGUUCUCCGGUCACAUAGCAGGGAAUUCGAAACCCAUAUAGUCAAUCCUUGCCAAAGUUGUUUAUUUGAGAAAAAAAAGAAGAGGAAUUUAGCUCCAAAAGCAAAGCAAAUCAACGAGCUUUAUAGGAUCACACAAGCAAUCAUGGAUAGCAUCGUUGACACUAUCAACUCCGCAACCAUCGUCAUCUCAACCGAAGCUAGUGCCCAGCCCACCACCGUCUUUGUAACUCUCUCUCUCUCUCUCUCUCUCUCUAGUGCAUACAAAUCUUUAUGCAUGUGUGCUUUUUUUUUUCUCUUCUCAUUUGCACCAGAAAAGUAGAAUUGCUGCAUUUGUAGAAGCUUGAGAAAGGCUUAUCAUCCCUUGACGCAGUGCAUUAGGGACUGAAAUGUGAACAAACAAGUAAAAGCAGGAAAACUAUCAAAUAAAAAAUCCACAUAACACAAAUUGAGAGAAGAGAUAUCAACUAAUAUGACUUUAGGGUCCUUGUUAUACUCUGUUUGGUUGCUGAGAAACUCUGGGAAUCUAAAACACACAUAUAUGGACAGUUGGAUUUUGCGUUCUUACUCGUAUUUUCAAUCCUAAGAAUGAAAACUAUCAACGUUUGAGUGUUUUUGUAGGAUUUUUUUUUUGGUUGUGAUAAGAAAACUCAUUUUAAGAGUAUACAAAUACUUUCAUAUCAACUUUUAAUUAUAAUUAUCAUAAACUUAAAAGGGUGACUAUAAUUCUAUAUAGAGUCUCAACUGUUGCUUAUGGUUUCAAUUGUUGUCGUGUAGAUAGGGGGGAGAGUUCAAUUUCCUAUUUUUUGAAUUUUCACAGAUACCGUUUUCAUUAACUCACGAGUCUUUUUUAACCCAGUUUCACACUAAACCCUUUCUGAUGAAUUCAUUUUCAACCGUUCAAAUUUAAUCCUAUGGUCUACAUCCCAUCUGCACACACUGUCCGCAAAGCUCCGUUUGCACCUUAGAAAUCGCCCUCUUUAUAAACUGGCCUGGCCUACACGGCACAACCCAAUUCCAGGCCAAAAUUGCAUAAACCCAACUCCUUUUAAUUGUUUUCAGAAGAGUGGUAGUUUUGUAAUUAAAUGGAAAUAAAUGGAAACGUAGCCAAUUUGACAGUGCUUAUGAACAAUGCCAAACUCCCCUCAAUUUUAAACUAUAGUAAUAAUUCCUAGUAUUGGUGAAUCAUAUGAUGGUGGUCAGGAGAAGACUGAAAGUCUUCUCGGCCCUUGGAAGAGAGGAUUGUCGUGGUGAAACCACCAGUUAGUCCAUUUUUUAAAUAAAAUAAAAUAAAAUUUUGGAAUCAAACUUCAUUCAUUUUCCAAGUAGUCCUAAACUACUGAAAAAUUGGCAAAUGUACCAUUUUCCGUUGAGAUGUAGAUUUUACCCCUUUUAGAUCUACUCCAACCCUUAGAGUAAAAUUCAAAUUUUAGGUUCUAAACCUACCCCAAUUUGCUCCAACCCAUAGGGUAAAUAUGAGUUGUAACCCAUAACUCAUUUCUGGGGCAAAUUUAGGCCAGGAUUCCCUUUGGGUUAGUAGGGUUGACCCACCAAAUAUAUGUAUUUUUUUUUAGUUUUAUUUAUAAAUUCAUUAAAUCUAACCGUUAAGAUCUAAUAUGAUCAAAUCUAAUUGUAAAAAAAAAAAAAAAGAUUUAACUCUCCAAAUUUAGACCCAACGGCUAAAAUAAUUAAAAACAAUUGUUUUUUCAUAUUCUUUCAUAGUGUCUGAUGAGUUUCAUGGUGUCAGUUUAGUAAUUUUUCAAUAUUUGUCGGAAUCUAAAUAUUUUUAGGUUAAAAUGUUCAUAAAAUUAAAUUAGGAUAGUCUACAAAUAUAUAUAUAUAUAUAUAUAUAUUUAAAGUUACUUUAAGAAUCCUAAAUUCAUUUUUUAAUAAUCUCGGACUAAAAAUUUAACCCAUAAGAGUUAGAGCAGAAAACAUAUUUCUAGGUUAAACCCUAAAUUUUUUGGGUUAAAAAUUUAAACACGUCGGUUCUUGCACUAAUGCUAGCUAGAAACAGCGCAUUAGCUACGUAGUCCUUGGACAACAUCUUAUUUCAUAGAAAUAUUUCAUAUUCAUGACAAUACCUAUGUGUUAAAAUUAAUAGGGUUUAUUUGUCCUAUUGUAUAAAGGGAAUUUUGUCCUUUCAAGUACCUAUAUUUUUAGGCUAAUAUGUAAAGAGGCUGUUGACUUAUUUGAUGCAUGGUUAAUUUAUUUGAUACAUUUAAAAAAUAAAAUAAUUUUUUAUUCAAAUGAUUUUUUGUCAAGAUAAUAUUUAAAGAAAGAUUAAGAAAUUGAACGGUUCUAAUUAUAAAUUUUCUAUGGUAAAAAUACGUAUUUGCAAGUAGUCAUGAAUAGCUCAUCCCCGAAGAGGGGAAUGCAAGAGUAUUAUUCUUUAUUUAUUUCAUUGAAAUUAUUACAAAUUCAUGACAAUACUAAGCGUCAAAAUUCAUAAAGUUUAUUUCUCCUUUAGUAUGAUAUAAAGGGAUAUUACAUAAUAUCCUUUCUAGUUCUAUUUUUAGGGUGAUGGACAGAAUGUAAUAACGUAGUUUGGUCCACCGCUGCAUGUAAAGGUGCUGUUGACAUCAUCAUAAGCGUAGCUAUAAGCCUGAGGGCACUGGUCCUCAAAGAUCUUAGAGUAGUCUGUGGGUGGACAUGUAGCUGGUGUGUCAUUAGGAGGAGUGCAGCAGUAUUGUGGUUGAUUAAAUUGUGUACACGCACUCUUGCAUGCAAUUACGCUCCCAUCGGACCCCUUCACUUGCAGCUCAGCUGGGCAAACAGCGUUGACGUUGGCGGGGCAAGAAGAGGUCUGGCAGUCGCCCGUGCCGCCUUGUGGGGCAACAGACACGGGCAAGUUGAAGCCAUCAACAAGACUUACGUCGUAGAAAUCUUGGCCUCCGUUUGCGACAAUAUUUAUUUCGACUAGGCUUGCUGGUGGAACUGCUCCGUUACCGUUGCAUGUGACUUGGCCAGAGCUACACUCUGCUGUGGCACAACUGAACUUUCCUGAGGCGUCAGUGGAGCAUCCGGUUCGGCCCCAGAAGCGGCCUUUCCAUGGGACUGGAGUGGUCAAGGAACUGCUAGCGCCGGAUGCUAACUCGAACCCUGUGGAGGAUAGUUGUGGUUGUUGAUCGGAGGUUAGGGACCCUGGCCAUACGGUAUAGGGGCAACUGUUGGUGAAG